rnacentral:tRNA from 1 species
AGCAGCAUGGCUUAGUGGAAAGAACAUGGGCUUGAGAGUUAGAGGAUGUGGGUUCUAAUCCCACCUCUGCCA